CACCUGUAGACUGACCCCUCCACCACGGGAUCGAUGUCAAUGUUCUUAAGGGAAAAAACCCUCAAGGAUUAUGGUCAUUCUUCAUCGAAAAUGGGAAUAUAUGAACAUCCUAGCAGUCGGCAUCCUACAGCAGCCCUUAUACAGUGCAUGUCUUUGGAGGUGGGAGGAAGCCGGAGUACCCGGAGGGAACCCACGCAGUCACGGGGAGAACAUGCAAACUCCACACAGAAAGAUCCCGAGGCCAGGAUUGAACUCACGACUACUCAGGACCUUCGUAUUGUGAGGCAGACGCACUAACCCUUCUGCCACCGUGCUGCCCAUGUUUAAACAUUUUUAUUUUAUUACUUAUUUUGUUUACCACUACAAUCAUUAUCCUUGUAGAGAAAAAACUAAAAAACAUUGCUUGGCCAUUUAGUAGA